GGCGAAACCGCGAAUGGCUCAUUAAAUCAGUUAUGGUUCCUUAGAUCGUUUCUUUCUACUUGGACAACUGUGGCAAUUCUAGAGCUAAUACAUGCAUUGAGCCUGAAGGCCUUUGGCUGACGGGUGCUUUUAUUAGACCAAGACCCAUCGGGUUCUGCCCGUACACUGUGGUGACUCUGGAUAACUUUGUGCAGAUCGCAUGGCCAUGAGCCGGCGACGUUUCUUUCAAGUGUCUGCCUUAUCAACUUUCGAUGGUAGGUUACUUGCCUACCAUGGUUGUUACGGGUAACGGAGAAUCAGGGUUCGAUUCCGGAGAGGGAGCCUGAGAAACGGCUACCACAUCCAAGGAAGGCAGCAGGCGCGCAAAUUACCCACUCCCGGCACGGGGAGGUAGUGACGAAAAAUAACAAUACGGGACUCUUUUGAGGCCCCGUAAUUGAAAUGAGUACACUCUAAAUCCUUUAACGAGGAUCAAUUGGAGGGCAAGUCUGGUGCCAGCAGCCGCGGUAAUUCCAGCUCCAAUAGCGUAUACUAAAGCUGCUGCGGUUAAAAAGCUCGUAGUUGGAUCUCAGUUCCAGACGAGUAGUGCAUCUACCCGAUGCGACGGCUCGGACUGAACAUCAUGCCGGUCCUCUCUUGGUGCCCUUCAUUGGUGCGUCUCGAGGUGGCCUGCGCUUUUACUUUGAAAAAAUUAGAGUGCUCAACGCAGGCGAGUCGCCUGAAUAAACUUGCAUGGAAUAAUAGAACAAGAGCCCGUUUCUGUUCUGUUGGUUUUUGGAAUACGGGCUAAUGAUUAAGAGGGACAGACGGGGGCAUUCGUAUUGCGGCGCUAGAGGUGAAAUUCUUGGACCGUCGCAAGACGAACUACUGCGAAAGCAUUUGCCAAGAAUGUUUUCUUUGAUCAAGAACGAAAGUCAGAGGUUCGAAGGCGAUCAGAUACCGCCCUAGUUCUGACCAUAAACGAUGCCAACCAGCGAUCCGCCUGAGUUACUCAAAUGACUCGGCGGGCAGCUUCCGGGAAACCAAAGUAUUGGGUCC
rnacentral:rRNA from 1 species